UCAGCCGUCGGCGACUGAUUUUCAGUCGGCCCGACUGCAUUUGACACGACCGAACAUGUUCCGUCGCAGACGACGGCCGUCAUAUAGUGUGAACAGGUCUACGACGCGACGCGACUGUCACGUCGUGUAGUGUGAACGGUUUACACAAUGCUAUACAACUGAUGUCUACAGGUAUCCAGUGGAAUGUCUACAUUUCAUCAUGUGACAUAAACGUUACAAUGGCGGAAUUAUUCUGGACAGAGGAAUAGACCCCUUCGCAGUCACCACUGUAGUGCCACCUGCAUGACUAUGAAAACAGACUGGGAACGUGUGACUCUUCAAAGAACAAAUCUGUUUCUGUUAAUGACAUCACAACCCUGAUUGUGGCUGGCGUUGCCAUAGCGAUCAUUGCUGCUUGUCAUCUGCAUCGUGGUCUUAUUGGUUGUCAAGAAGAGAAAGUCCAACACAAAUUUCCACGACAAGGGCAUGAAUAAGCAGAACAUUUGAUCAGCUUUUCCAGAUAAAUCACAAACAUGUUUGACAUUUUGUAGCUGGCAAAUGACAGAACAGUGCUAGCAUCACCAUUAUUAUAUGGACUAUAUUUAGAGGACUUUAUUAAAUAUUUUGUUGAAUUUGUUCCUUCAGUCAUUAUGUUCUUUCAAAAUCUUGUAAGUCAAACCAAGUUCAAAGAAGAAAAAACAAAUAUAUCAUUGACAUUGUGAAAAAUUUCAAGUCAAAAUCAACUGAUGAUGUUUGAAAACCUGAUAUCAAAACAUUUACAGACAACUGCGGCUGUUGAUACUCAUGCUGAUGUUAAUAUUGAGAAAAAGUCUGGAUACUAAAUCUGAAGGACAAAACGGUAAUAUGUGAUCAGGGCCGUAUUUCCUUUUCUCUCACCAACUGCACCAAACAGAUAACAUCACCUACAUAAUGGUCCCAUGGACCUGCUCAGUCUUUUAUUUCACUUUCAUCAAAAUCUUCACUUUUUUUUUUUUUAAAGAACAGCACUUUUAUAAUUCUUAAUCCAAAAUUAUAAAUGCAGUUAUAUGUACCUAAUUUCAAUAAACAGAUAAUUGAUACAG